rnacentral:hammerhead_ribozyme from 1 species
ACACUGCUGAGGAGUCUCAGAAUAGGACGAAACGACCGUCCAGUGC